rnacentral:piRNA from 1 species
UGUGAGGCACAUGAGGUGACCUCCUCUAUC